rnacentral:rRNA from 1 species
CAGAGGGGUGCGAGCGUUAAUCGGAAUUACUGGGCGUAAAGCGAGUGUAGGUGGCUCAUUAAGUCACAUGUGAAAUCCCCGGGCUUAACCUGGGAACUGCAUGUGAUACUGGUGGUGCUAGAAUAUGUGAGAGGGAAGUAGAAUUCCAGGUGUAGCGGUGAAAUGCGUAGAGAUCUGGAGGAAUACCGAUGGCGAAGGCAGCUUCCUGGCAUAAUAUUGACACUGAGAUUCGAAAGCGUGGGUAGCAAACAGGAUU